rnacentral:rRNA from 1 species
CACGUAUGGAAACCGACACGACAACACGAUAGAAAACAGAAUGCAUCAUGGCUCAAGACUCUCGUGUAGGCUAAGAGGGCUGCGCCACAUAGUAGUGUGAGGUAAAGGCUUACAAGAUAUGAUGUGUAGCUUGACUGAGAGGCUGAACAGCCACAUUGGGACUGAGACACGCCCCAAACUCCUACGGGAGGCAGCAGUAGGGCAAUUCUCGGCAAUGGAGGAAACUCUGACCCGAGCGACGCCGCGUGCACGAUGAAGUAUUUCGGUAUGUAAAGUUCUUUUAUUGAAGAAGAAAAAAUAGUGGAAAAACUAUCUUGACGUAUUCAAUGAAUAAGCCCCGGCUAACUAUGUGCCAGCAGCCGCGGUAAGACAUAGGGGGCGAGCGUUAUCCGGAAUUAUUGGGCGUAAAGGGUGCGUAGGCGGUUAGAUAAGUCUAUAAUUUAAUUUCAGUGCUUAACGCUGUCUUGUUAUAGAAACUGUCUUGACUAGAGUGAGAUAGAGGCAAGCGGAAUUCCAUGUGUAGCGGUAAAAUGUGUAAAUAUAUGGAGGAACACCAGAAGCGUAGGCGGCUUGCUGGGUCUUUACUGACGCUGAGGCACGAAAGCGUGGGGAGCAAACAGGAUUAGAUACCCUGGUAGUCCACGCUGUAAACGAUGAGUACUAAGUGUCGGGGAAACUCGGUACUGAAGUUAACACAUUAAGUACUCCGCCUGAGUAGUACGUACGCAAGUAUGAAACUUAAAGGAAUUGACGGGACUCCGCACAAGCGGUGGAUCAUGUUGUUUAAUUCGAAGAUACACGAAAAACCUUACCAGGUCUUGACAUACUCUGCAAAGCUAUAGAAAUAUAGUGGAGGUUAUCAGGGAUACAGGUGGUGCAUGGUUGUCGUCAGUUCGUGUCGUGAGAUGUUAGGUUAAGUCCUAAAACGAACGCAACCCCUGUCGUUAGUUGCCAGCACGUAAUGGUGGGGACUUUAGCGAGACUGCCAAUUAAACAUUGGAGGAAGGUGGGGAUAACGUCAAAUCAUCAUGCCCCUUAUGAUCUGGGCUACAAACGUGAUACAAUGGCUAUUACAAAGAGUAGCUGAAACGCGAGUUUUUAUCCAAUCUCAAAAAGGUAGUCUCAGUACGGAUUGAAGUCUGCAACUCGACUUCAUGAAUGUUGGAAUCGCUAGUAAUCGCGAAUCAGACAGGACCGGAAAAUCAA